CAGUUUCGACUGUUACUUCUACUUUGACCCCUGACAUCACAGUGAGACCAACUAGUUUGACCUCUCCUUUGGCCCCCAGCACAGCAGUGAAUCCUACAUCAGAUUUGACUGUUAGUCCUACUUUGACAACUGACACACCAAAGAGUCCAACUGAAAAGGUGCAAUUAUGGCAGACAGCAGUGUGUAUGGCUUCUGGAGUGGGCGUGUUCUUGAUGGGAUUGACAGCUGUCUAUCUCUGCAGGA